rnacentral:lncRNA from 1 species
UGCGUUUCAAUGACACUGAAGUCUGAUUCCACUUAAUUUCAUACUGCUGGUGAGUGAUUAGUGUUCUUAGUAUUCACAGAUAUGAAAUGUGCCCCAUCUUUUACUAAGGAAAAACGAUGACAACCACGCACAAAAACAGUAUUCUCAGUAUCCACCUGAUGUUGGGCUUCAUGGUUUACAAUCACGAGACCGUCAUAUGUGAUUCAUCCACGUUAAGAGAUGAGCUUGACUGAAAGGUCUGUAGCUUGAAAACUUUACUUGUCUUAACAAAAGCAUUUAAUGGUUGAUUUCUACAGUUUGAUUCUCUUCGUAUAAAACCAUUGAUUUGUCUAUUGAGUCUUCAAGUUGUGUACCCUCCAAUGAAAAAAUAUCUCAGAUCACAAUCUAAUCUAGUGCUCAAUCAUUGUGAAAUCCAACAAACAUCAAAACGAUGCAGUCACAAGACGUUCUGAAAUAACAUUUCAAUACAGAAAAUAAAUAAAUGAAUAAAUAAAUCUAAGUACAGUUAAAUGCAGAUAUCAAUGGCUUUUUUGAAUACAAGAACUCCACAGAUCUUUUAAAAACACCAAUUCAAUGACAAGAGAAUGAAUAUGUACAUACAUACUCAUUCAUAAUCGUCUCCAUCCACACCACCAACUUUCAGGUGCAAAUGCUUCUCACGCUUAUGAAAUUCUGUAGUUCCUUUUCCGCUACCUGUGACACCUACCUUCCCCUUAGGAUCAUCCGGAGUUUUAAAAAUACUCUCCCUUUUACGCCCCGUGAAGAACCCCACUUGCUGCUAGAAAAUUCACACAAUGCGCCAAAUUAAUAAUGGGCAGCGGUUGUUCAGGAAAAUGACACACUGAGUUUUUGGAUAGUAAUGAAUUAAAAAUCCUUAAAUCCUCCAUAUUUAAUAAACAUCAAGCUGGAAGUAAUAAGGAAUGCAGAGGUAAUAGGAUUAGGCAAUCUUCAAAAAGGUUCAAGACAAAACAAGUUAUCACUCACUUUUUUCGUUUUCCCUUUUGUAGUUUGAAACUGCUGCCAAGCAUUUUGAUGCUUAUUCUGUGUCAGCUCCAUCUGUUCAAGCCUAGCCUUCGACUUGAAAGCAUGGAUCUUUUUCUUCUUUGCCGCUUUCUGCAAAAGAAUCACGGAUCCUUAAAUGAACUUGUUUG